AGUGAACGCUGGCGGUAGGCCUAACACAUGCAAGUCGAACGGCAGCACAGUAAGAGCUUGCUCUUACGGGUGGCGAGUGGCGGACGGGUGAGGAAUACAUCGGAAUCUACUUUUUCGUGGGGGAUAACGUAGGGAAACUUACGCUAAUACCGCAUACGACCUACGGGUGAAAGCAGGGGAUCUUCGGACCUUGCGCGAUUGAAUGAGACGAUGUCGGAUUAGCUAGUUGGCGGGGUAAAGGCCCACCAAGGCGACGAUCCGUAGCUGGUCUGAGAGGAUGAUCAGCCACACUGGAACUGAGACACGGUCCAGACUCCUACGGGAGGCAGCAGUGGGGAAUAUUGGACAAUGGGCGCAAGCCUGAUCCAGCCAUACCGCGUGAGUGAAGAAGGCCUUCGGGUCGUAAAGCCCUUUUGUUGGGAAAGAAAAGCAGCAGGUUAAUACCCCGCUGUUCUGACGGUACCCAAAGAAUAAGCACCGGCUAACCUCGUG
rnacentral:rRNA from 1 species